rnacentral:ncRNA from 1 species
UAAGGAACUCGGUAAAAUAACCCUGUAACUUCAUAAGGGGUGCCUCCUCACUAAAGGGGUUGCAAAAUUGCAAUGACCAAGGUCGAGAGAUUUAUUUAUCAAAAAUACAAGUUUUCGCAAAGUCGUAAGAUCAUGUAUAAGGGCUAACGUCUGCCUAGUGCCGAAAAAUCAAGGAAGUUAAUGACCUGAUGAUAUUGGAAUAUGUAAUCAAAGCCCGGAUUAACGGUGAUCAUAACUAUAACGGUGCUAAUGUAGCGAAAAUUAAAAGAAAAUGCAAAACAAAACUUUUUAGAUUCUUA